UACGGGGGGGCAAGCGGUUGUUCGGAAUUACUGGGCGUAAAGGGCUCGUAGGUGGCCAACUAAGUCGGACGUGAAAUCCCUCAGCUUAACUGGGGAACUGCGUCCGAUACUGGAUGGCUUGAGUUUGGGAGAGGGAUGCGGAAUUCCAGGUGUAGCGGUGAAAUGCGUAGAUAUCAAGAGGAACACCUGAGGUGAAGACGGGUUGCUGGGCUGACACUGACGCUGAGGCGCGAAAGCUAGGGUAGCAAACGGG
rnacentral:rRNA from 1 species